GAUGUGUACCUUACCAGUACUCGUAGUAACUCCUGGGUAUUUGAUACCGGUGCCGUUGCUCAUAUUUGUAACUCACAGCAGGAGCUGCGGAAUAAAAGGAGACUGGCGAAGGACGAGGUGACGAUGCGCGUCGGGAAUGGUUCCAGAGUCGAUGUGAUCGCCGUCGGCACGCUGCCUCUACAUUUACCUACGGGAUUAGUUUUGAACCUUAAUAAUUGUUAUUUAGUGCCAAGUUUGAGCAUGAACAUUGUAUCUGGAUCUCGUUUAAUACGAGAUGGCUACUCAUUUAAGUCUGAGAAUAAUGGUUGUUCGAUUUAUAUGAGAGAUAUGUUUUAUGGUCAUGCUCCGAUGGUCAAUGGUUUAUUCUUAAUGAAUCUCGAGCGUAAUAUUACACAUGUUCAUAGUGUAGAUGCCAAAAGAUUUAAAGUUGAUAACGAUAGUCCCACAUAC
rnacentral:rRNA from 1 species